GCGCCGCCGCUGCCAACCCGGAAGGAGCCCGGAGGGGCCCGGGCGGCCAGGGCGCCCCCGCCAGGAGGCCCGCCAGGUGUCCACCUGAGCCCCACGCCCUGCGCCGCGGGGCCCUUUUGGGGGCGGGGUGCCAGCUCCGAGGUGUCCUCCCACGGGCUGUAGACUGGGAAACUGAGGCCCGGGCCACGGUCCCAGACGCAGCCGGGACCCGAACCCACCUCACCUGAGCGAAUGAUAUCCGGGACUCAUCCUUUUUCGACACCUUUGCGGGAUCCAGCCCUCCAAGGAAAGCUUCCUGAGCAGUGCGCGCCACGUGUAUUGGGCACCUCACCGCGGCCACUUCACAUCCUAUCUCAGGUGGAGAAACUAAGCCACAGAAAGGAGCUGUCAUUUACCUAAAGCACCGUGGCAGGGGUUUGGCAGAGCCAGGAUUUGUACCCAGAUCGCCUGACUUCGGAGAGUAACAGCUCUUAACCACAGCACUUCGGUCUAUGCCUUGAUUUCACCAUAUGUAACAAGCAGCUGUGCCACUUUGCAUUCCCACCAGCAGCACGCAAGCGUUCGAAUUUCUCCGCACGCUCCCCAACAGGACAAGAGCUUGCCGUGUUGCCCCAGGCUGGUCUCAAACUCCUAGCCUCAAGCAAACUUCCUGUCUCGGCCUUUCAAAACCCUGAGAUUACAAGCAUAAGAAAAGAAAAUCUUGUAAGAUGAAAGCUGAAGGAUGAGAGCAAUUAAUUGAUGAAGUAUGAUGAUCCAGGUGUCCCUGGGUGAAGAAACAACCUCUACAAAGGCCCUGAGACAGGGUCUCGCUCAUCACCAGGCUGGAGUACAGUGA
rnacentral:lncRNA from 1 species